CGUGCGUGGUGGGAUGGGAUUAAAGGGAUUUGGAGCCCGCACCGGCGCUCAAUGCAAACGCGCGUCUGAGUCGCGGCACAGAAAUGAGUCGUGCAGCGAACACAGCCCCGCAGCCGCCGUCCGGAGACGCUACUUCGUGAAAAACAGCAAAAGUACCUUUUGAAUUCUUCCAUCAAUAUCCAAAUAAAUACACUUGGGCCGCUGCAGAAGCAUGAAGAAAGUGUAAAGCCCAUGCUCUCGCCCACCGCCAUCCGAACCACCCCCGGAGAGAAGGAAUCUGUUAUUUUAAGGGAAUGUGAAAUAUCCUGGCAAAGGCAUCUCCUGGGAGAAAGCGCAGCCGAGAAGCAGGAGGGAGCAGAGCAUCCGACGGUGUGUUCUCGGAGCGGAUGCCGAAUGCCAUCUGCUGUGCUGUGCUGCAGAGCCCGGGGGAGCCUGAGCGGCGGGUGAUGCUCGGUCACGGACGGGAGAGAGGUUUGGAGGCAGCGGCUCCUCCGCCCUCGCAGGGCGAGAGGCGCCCGAUGGGCUGCAAGCCUGGAAACAGCGCCAGCUCGCUGUGUUUUCUGAUGGAGGGGCUGCAAGAAUAUUUCCCGACCACCUCCCUCUGUGCUGCAGGUUGGGAGAGCCGGGCUUGGGACAGUGGGGUCGGUGCUGUCCACCCUGCCCACCCCUAGGCCUUGUUGUAGCAGGAGUGAGACACUCCCGACCCACAGGCUCAGGCACCAGGAGCAGCCUCAGCUGCCCUGGAACUUGCUCUGGCUCUGUGUGAAAGGGAUUCCCAAGGGCUGGGGGGCUGAGUGGGUCUCAGAGCCCGUUUGGGAGUCAGAGCCAGGUUGGCCUUUCAGACUGAAGCCAGCAGAACUCCUAAAGCCCUCGGAGCCAGCGGCAAGGUGACACCUUUGGGAAGUGCAAGCCUCUGCUUCACAUCCUUCCUCUGCCAGCUUGGAGGUGGCACUGGAAGUCUUCCAGGAGAGCCUUUGCCCCUGCUGGGCUGUCCCCUGGGUGGUGUUACAUUCUAUUCCAUAGAAUCAUAGAAUAUUCUGAGUUGGAAGGGACAUACAUGGAUCAUCGAAAUCCCACUCCUGACCCUGCACAUGACAGAAUCACGCCAUAAGCUGUCCUGGAAGUUACCCUCUAGGCUAUUUUGCAGCCUAUCCCACAAACUGUCCUGCAAACUGGAUAAUCCCAGAGGUUAAUCCCUUGGAUUAUUCCAUAGGCUGUCCCCAUGGCUAUUCUGACAUGGGCACAGCUUCUCCCACUGCAACAGCCCUUCCACGUCAACCCCACUGCUUCUGUACAUCAGUCACGACUUUGGUGACCCAUCCCUUCAUACCCUGCUCUGCCUUAAUCCUGUUUUACCUGAGUGACUUGGUUGACCUUGCUAAGCAGCAGAUACCCGGGGGAGAUGGCCAGGAGGACAAAAAUGCAGCCAUUUAGAAAGAGGCAUCCAGAGCACUCACACUGGGAGAUGCACAUGGGGCUUUUGGUCUUGCAGAGGAGGGGGCUGAGAUCUCCCCCUGCGAUGAUCCACUCCUGGAGUGGUCAGACAAGGUCACUGGUGCACUGAAGGAUUUGACCACACACCACUGGGACAUCUAAUGAUCAGUCCCACACUGCUGAGCAUCUACCUUUUGAUUUCUAUUUUAAAAAGCAACCAGCUUCUCCAGCCAGCAAAAAAGACAGGCUCUAAAAUCCAAGUGAUGACCCCGGUCCUGCCUCUCCAUCCUUCUUGUCCUAUCUACUCUCCCUGUGUAUUUAAAAUAGUGUUCCUUAAUCUCCAGCACACACACACCCCUCCCCUUAAUUACAUUAAUAUUUGUUGAAAAAAUUGCUUUGCUGUAAAAUUGCUGACUAUUGUGCUUUUCAAGAACUUUUCACGUAGAAGGGAAUCUACCAAAGCUGAGCUCCCAGAAAUUACAACAAAAGCCUGAUGCAAUUGAAGGCACAGUUCAAGUCCAUGCCUGAAAGACAGUAUUCAUCAAAGAGGAUGUGCAGUUCCCUGAGAUAACUGCCUGCCUGUAGUUGGUUUAACCUUCCCAAAUCUCCUUAUUUCCUUUAUACACUGUGCAAUGUGGGGCAGAAACGACUGGGAAGCACUGUCCUAUCUCAUCAAAUCCUUGAACAGUUCAUCAGCUGGGCCAAAUCCAGGCAACACAGCGCCAGACAACGAUUAUCCAGCAUUUGCCUUUUACAGGAGUGUUUUGCCCAGCUCAGGGCAGCACCAGGUUGUUUUCCCCCCGACCACGGGCGGCACAUCAAGGGUUGCACAGCUCUGCUUUGCCUUCCCUGCUAAGCUGUUUACUGAGGCCAACACACACCUCUCUGUACACUCAAACCUUGAAAGUAGGUGUGCCUUUUGGAGAGCUGUGGGGCUUGAGCCUUUGGCCCAGCGACCUGGCAGUGCCCCAGCCAGAUGUCACUCCCAAAGACUGAAAAAGGCGCCUCUGUCUCCCGGUCCUGGCGCCUGCUCCAUGUCUGUGGUUCAGAGGCAGCUUUAUUAGGGUUUCCAAGGUGUAACCAGAGGAUAUUCAGACUACACAUGGUUUGCCCUCAGACUCGCUGCUGUCGAGGCACAAAGCACCCACGCUGGCUUUGUGUGGGUUGAGAUCUCCCCGUGCUGCAAACCCUGCUCAAAGGGAGAGGGAAAAGCUUCAGGGAUCAAAAGGGCUGGCCAAGCCACUCUCCAUGUGGGUCUGGGAUGGGACAGCACCAUUCCUGUCCCCUCCCAUCCCUGCCUGCAGCUGCAACGAUGCAGAAGAGACAGAGGCAAUGAGCCAUGGAGGACGAGGUGGGGCAGCACCACAGACUGCCAGCCUUCAUAGUCCCUCCAAGGAUCUGCCCUCAUCAGACAUGUCUCAAGGUAGCAACAUCCUUAUGCAAUAGUCUCCCCAAAUCUUUCCUUUCCCCAAAGCAUUCCUAUCAAUCCCACUCACCUAUUUACAGCCAUGGCAUGGGGUUUCCCAGACUUGCUUCUCCAGUCCUGAAGCCGCUGUGCUCACAUGGUGGCUCCCCCAGCCUCUCUAAAACCUGUUUUUCCUGCAGCACUCAAGAAAUUAGUUUCCCCUUGCAGCCUGCUGUGAGCACAUCCAAACCUGGGAAGUGCAGGGCAGUGAUCUUCAAAGGGAUUGAGAUAGGGGAAAAACAGCAAGAUAAUUUAAACCUUUCAGUGAAAGAUCUCCUGUUCAGUUUUUCUCAGAGAAAUGCAUUCCCACAUGUCAUUGCUGAACCCUCUUCUCUCAGUCCCUGCUGAGCUGUGACUCGCCCUCCGGGAUGAAGUGAGGCAUCUGGGUGCCCUUCCUGCCCCUGCCCUGUGCCCUGGGAGGCUGCAGGGCUGGACACAGCACCCAACAGCUCACCCCACCUAGAAGGGCAGGGAGAGAAAACCCUGGGGUUUGUGCAAAGCAAUGAAAGUACCUAGGUGCCCUUGGAGGGGGUUGAUUAGGGUCUAAGGUUGUGUUUGGAAAUGCCUCCUGGGCCACUGUGACCGGCAAGAUGCAGCCUGGUCCCAGGAGGUGAUGGGCAGCUGGAGUGUGACUCAGGCCAGGUAUUUUAAGGACAGUGAUAUAUUUUCAACGAAGACUGCCUAGAAUUAAAAACAGAGAAUUUUUAAAAUUAACUUUUUUCCUUACCUGCUCCAUAUCUCAGCCUUCCAGGUGCUUCCUCUGCCCACUAAUCCCUUCUCUUGCACAUCCCCUCCUUCAGCUGCAGGUUUGUCCCUCUCUACGUUCCCACAGGGCCUUGUCCUACUGCUUUACCUCCCUCAAACCUGCCAAAACACUGGAUUGCCCCUGUACCUGGGAAGGUUUCCCCUUCACUCCCACAGCUCCUCUUCCUCUCCCUAUUUUGCUCAGUCUUAUCUCCCUCCUUUUACCAUCUUUGGUGUUUUGCCAUUUUUAUUUCUGGAUGUUUCUCCCCCACACACCUGAAGUCCUGCAGACUUUCUGCAGGAAUUAACUGCCCUUGGAGUUUUCUCUGUUAACAGCUAAAGGUUUGCUGUGGCAGUGUGAGCUCCUCCACGCAGAGCACAGCUGACCCUUCCAGCCCAGCUCUCACUCCUUUCCAUAAGCCUAUGGAAAGAAUAUUCCUUGCUGCAUACGGAAAUUUUAGCUCACUUCUUUGCACAAUUUUUUUCGUACACUGCCAGGUUUCCACAGGACCAGCCCUGGAAACGAUCAUAUUGAAUGUUAAUUAGAGAACGAGUGAUUAUUAACCUCGAGACCUUUGUAUGAUUUGUCCAUGUGGGCCUUUAUAUCAUCUGCCCCUGGAAGCCCGUGUUUGGCCCUUCACCACGCAGCACCUCAGCUCUCCACAUCACUCUUGGCUCCAGCCCCAUUUCUGGGACUUGUUGCUCGCCCCAGCCCCAUUCCCAGUCCACACAGUACAGCUGCAAUCACCUGGUUUCCAUGGCAACGCCCCGGGAACGUGGGUCAGAAGAGAGCUGUGACAUCUCCUGACGCGGCAGGUCCGGGCACCAGGGUGCAGGUCCGGAGCUCUGUGGGCGGGAGACGUCGUGUUACUCACCCAGGAGGCAGCUUUGCUCUCUAAUCCAGCAGUGUUGGCCACCUCGGUGACAAUGCUGCCUUUAUUCUCUUUACAAUUGUUGUUAAAAUUCGGGUACCAGUAGUUCUCUCAUGUCUCAACGCUCAGACGUACCAGUUAAUAGGCUCAGAUCUUGGAAAAGUGCAGCAAACCCUGCUGACUCACAAAAACCUGUCCACGUGUGCAGUGCUGGCUUGGAGAAGAAGAGCAGACUCAAGCCACGGACAAUCCUUUAUUUCACUUUGGGAAAGCACGUGUCCAAUACAGCAUCUGACAUGUCAAGACAUUUCUUGACUUUUCUCUGUUGAGGAAAAAAACCUUCUUUCUCCUGCUGCAUGUUAGAAACUUUAUUAAUAAACCUGUUUUCUGAAGCACUUACAAUACCUGGCAGGUCCCAGGUUGAUUUCCUGAGGGUCUCCCAGUGGUGCAAGGCCACUGCCUUUCCCUGCUGGGUUGCAGAAGCAGCUCAGCCUCCACAAGUGUUCCCUUUCACUGCAGCACCAGGUCCUUGGCACAGCCUGAUUUCACUAAGAGCACUUUGCAUCACCUCCCAGGUGACCCCUUUCCCCCUUCCAGGAGCACACAGGACCUCAGGAAUCUCCAUGCCCCAUGCCAUGGUGUGGUGUGCUGCCAGCUGCCUAUGGAGAGCUUUGGCUGCCCUCUGUCCCAUUGCCACCUCUCUUCUUGAUUUUCAGCCUCCCUUCCCUCUCUGCUUUCCAUUUUCUACCUCUUCCCUUUGUUUCUCACUCCACUCCCAUCUCCUCAAGCCUCUGUUCCCAGGCCUUCAUUUAAAGUUUGAAGAGAGCCAAGU